rnacentral:rRNA from 1 species
UGGGGAAUAUUGGACAAUGGGCGCAAGCCUGAUCCAGCCAUGCCGCGUGAGUGAUGAAGGCCUUAGGGUUGUAAAGCUCUUUCACCGGAGAAGAUAAUGACGGUAUCCGGAGAAGAAGCCCCGGCUAACUUCGUGCCAGCAGCCGCGGUAAUACGAAGGGGGCUAGCGUUGUUCGGAAUUACUGGGCGUAAAGCGCACGUAGGCGGAUCGAUCAGUCAGGGGUGAAAUCCCAGAGCUCAACUCUGGAACUGCCUUUGAUACUGUCGAUCUAGAGUAUGGAAGAGGUGAGUGGAAUUCCGAGGGUAGAGGUGAAAAUCGUAGAUAUUCGGAGGAAAACCCGUGGCGAAAGCGGAUCACUGGGGCAUUACUGACGCUGAGGUGCGAAAGCGUGGGGAGCAAACAGG